ensembl:snRNA U5 U5 spliceosomal RNA
ACACUCAUGUUUCUCUUCAGGUCAUUUAAAUCUUUCGCCUUUUACUAAAAGAUUUCCAUGGGUAGGAACAAGCUUGAGUCUUGAUUAAAUUUUUUGAGGCCUUGCGUAAGCCAGGCU